UACGUAGGGUGCAAGCGUUGUCCGGAAUUAUUGGGCGUAAAGGGCUCGUAGGCGGCUUGUCACGUCGGGUGUGAAAGCCCGGGGCUUAACCCCGGGUCUGCAUUCGAUACGGGCAGGCGUAGAGUGUGGUAGGGGAGAUCGGAAUUCCUGGUGUAGCGGUGAAAUGCGCAGAUAUCAGGAGGAACACCGGUGGCGAAGGCGGGUCUCUGGGCCGUAACUGACGCUGAGGAGCGAAAGCGUGGGGAGCGAACAGG
rnacentral:rRNA from 1 species